rnacentral:rRNA from 1 species
GAGGAAUAUUGGGCAAUGCCCGCAAGGGUGACCCAGCAACGCCGCGUGGAGGAUGAAUGUCGUAAGAUUGUAAACUCCUGUUAGAGGGGAAGAAUAGUACCGGUUGGACCGGUAUAUGACUGUACCCUCAGAGAAAGCCCCGGCUAACUACGUGCCAGCAGCCGCGGUAAUACGUAGGGGGCAAGCGUUGUCCGGAUUUACUGGGUGUAAAGGGCGCGCAGGCGGGAUAAAAAGUCAGUGGUGAAAUCCUACAGCUUAACUGUAGAACUGCCUUUGAUGCUUUUAUGAUUGAGUUCGGGAGAGAGAGACGGAAUUCCAGGUGUAGUGGUGAAAUACGUAGAUAUCUGGAAGAACACCAGUUGCGAAGGCGGUCUCUUGGUCCGACACUGACGCUGAGGCGCGAAAGCGUGGGGAGCAAACA